AAGCGAUUUAAAUUAGUAGUAGAAUGGCUAAGGCUUAGUAGAAGAGUAGGCCUAGAAAGCAACACUCCAAAGUAGCAACUUUGUUUGUGUGAAGUGGAAACCAUAAUCAAAGGAUCUAGUCAAGCAUGUAUAUAACGAUUUUCAAGCAUGUAUAUAAUGAUUUGUUACCUUGGAUGUGGUAAGGGUCUGUUAAACAGUUUCUAGGAGUAAGACAACCUAAGCAGAUUUAUGAUUAGAGUAGAUGAUUAUCAAUUGUUAUCAGCAUGAAGUAUGAUCUUAUUUGUAACUGAAUGUAACUGUUUUCUGUGGAAACUGCACGUAAACUUGUUUGUGUAAAAGUAUAAAAGCUGAACUGAGAAUGAGGGUCUUUGGAAUCCUGACUUGGGACGCUAGUCCUCAGGUUCCCGGGCCCUGAAUAAAGCACCGCAUAAACCGGCA